AGUCAUGACGGCUUUAGAACUUAGCAAUGAACUGGCAGUUCUGGCCAAUAUUGAGAAAGAGUUCAAGAAUGACUACAAAAAACUGUCAAUGCAGUGCAAAGACUUUGUUGUUGGACUCCUUGAUCUGUGCAGAAACACUGAAGAAGUUGAGGCCAUUCUGAAUGGGGAUGUUGAAACGCUCCAGAGUGGUGAUCAUGGUCGCCCAAAUCUCAGCCGUUUAAAACUUGCCAUUAAAUAUGAAGUAAAAAAAGUAAGGUCAGGCAUGAAGCCCGUUUACAUUAUUUUGGUUCUCGUUGGUGCUAAAUAAGGAUAAAGGGUUGAUAUUGUUAGAUUGAGCUGGGAUUUUCUUUUCUUUUCUUUUCUUUUUUUUUUUUUGAGACAGAGUCUCACUCUGUCGCCCAGGCUGGAGUGCAGUGGCGCGAUCUCGA
rnacentral:sRNA from 1 species